rnacentral:rRNA from 1 species
UACAGAGGUCCCAAGCGUUAUCCGGAUUUACUGGGUUUAAAGGGUGCGUAGGUGGAUUUGUAAGUCAGUGGUGAAAUCUCCGAGCUUAACUCGGAAACUGCCAUUGAUACUAUAAGUCUUGAAUUAUCUGGAGGUAAGCGGAAUAUGUCAUGUAGCGGUGAAAUGCUUAGAUAUGACAUAGAACACCAAUUGCGAAGGCAGCUUACUACGGAUAUAUUGACACUGAGGCACGAAAGCGUGGGGAUCAAACAGG